UAAUACGUAUGUUCCAAGCGUUAUCCGGAUUUAUUGGGCGUAAAGCGAGCGCAGACGGUUAUUUAAGUCUGAAGUGAAAGCCCUCAGCUCAACUGAGGAAUUGCUUUGGAAACUGGAUGACUUGAGUGCAGUAGAGGAAAGUGGAACUCCAUGUGUAGCGGUGAAAUGCGUAGAUAUAUGGAAGAACACCAGUGGCGAAGGCGGCUUUCUGGACUGUAACUGACGUUGAGGCUCGAAAGUGUGGGUAGCAAACAGGAUUAGAUACCCUGGUAGUCCACACCGUAAACGAUGAGUGCUAGGUGUUUGAGGGUUUCCGCCCUUAAGUGCCGCAGCUAACGCAUUAAGCACUCCGCCUGGGGAGUACGACCGCAAGGUUG
rnacentral:rRNA from 1 species